rnacentral:lncRNA from 1 species
CCCAAUCCCAGACCGCAGGCGUCGUUUCCCUUCGCGAUCCAGCGCUCUCCCCUCCACCGCUGAUCUCCCCCGGGGUCCCCCCCGGGGCUCCCCCACGCCCGCAGGCCGCGGCGGGGAGACGGUGCGGGGCAUCUGCCGGAGCUCCGGGGCUCGCGUGGACUGCGGCCACGAGCCCGACGCCGGGCUGGCCCCGGUGCGAGUCAUCCGCCUGCUGGGGACGCGCAGGGAGGUGGAGGCGGCCAAGAAGCUGAUCAUGGAGAAGCUGGCGGAGGACAAGGCGCUCCGCCGGGAGCUGGCGCAGGCGGCGGCCGCGCGGUGCCCGCGGAAGCAGCCGCUGGGCAGCCGCCGGGAGCCGCCGCCGGAGCCUCCCCCCGGUGCUCCCGGGAGCGCCGGCGGCUGGCGGGAGUGCUGGGAUAAUGACUGGGCACCGGAGGCAGCGGCGGGGAGCAGCGCCGGGAUGGAGACGGGGCAGACGGAGGCGGCGGAUGAGGGAGAGGAGCGGCGGGAUGGGAGCGAGGAGCACCGGGAUGGGAGAGAGGAGCACCGGGAUGCGGGAGAGGAGCACCGGGAUGGGAGCGAGCAGCACCGGGAUGGGAGCGAGGAGCACCGGGAUGGGAGUGACGAGCACCGGGAUGGGAGAGAGGAGCACCGGGAUGGGAGCGAGGAGCACCAGGAUGGGAGCGAGGAGCACCGGGAUGGGAGCGAGGAGCCGCCUGUGGCCAAGUUCGAGGUGCCCAGCCCGGAUUUCGGCUGCCCAGUGGACGAGCUGCUGGACGUGUACGUGUCGGCGGCCGAGAGCCC